rnacentral:rRNA from 1 species
UACGUAGGGUGCGAGCGUUGUCCGGAAUUAUUGGGCGUAAAGAGCUUGUAGGCGGUUUGUCGCGUCUGCCGUGAAAAUCCGGGGCUCAACCCCGGACUUGCGGUGGGUACGGGCAGACUAGAGUGUGGUAGGGGAGACUGGAAUUCCUGGUGUAGCGGUGAAAUGCGCAGAUAUCAGGAGGAACACCGAUGGCGAAGGCAGGUCUCUGGGCCGAUACUGACGCUGAGGAGCGAAAGCGUGGGGAGCAAACAGG